ACAGCAUAGGCGACGCAGACGUCUCUAAGACACCGUCUCCUGUCCUCUAGGGGGGCUGGGAAGCCCAGUGAGGGCAGGGGUCGUGUCUUGCCUGGGCACCAGUGCAUCUCCACUCAGGGAAUGGAUGAAUGAAUGCAAAAACCAAGGAAGCGAUUCCGCAGAAACCCAGGAUGAAAAAAGUCCCUUCAAAAACAAAAAAGUACCUACAGACGUGUAUGUGGAGCCUACGCUGCAGCAGAUCCAAUGACAGACAAGACGCCUGCUCAGAGCAGGCAUUUCAGUGUCAAAUCCAAUUAGGAUAAGACUAGGAGGCACCGGCCCAGCACUUCGGUUACAUGGAAGAAGGGGCUGGCGAGCCCUGCUCCAAUCGAGGACUUGGCAGAGGAUGUCUAUGCGGAGAUCCCAUCCUGGAAUGAGCUCUGACCCUUGCGGUGGGUUUGAGCGCACCAGAAUUCCAGGGCAGCACUGGGAGGUGUGGAAGCCAUGGGGAGGAAAAGCCGCACAAGCCAGAGACAGACCGAGUUGUGCCAGGAGGCAACAUCAGAAGGUGCUGGGCUGUCGGGGAUGGCCCGGCCACCCCACCCUGCUGCCCAGCGUUCAGAGGAAUGGCUUGAGUAAUCAGGGUACCAAAACCGCCUUGCAAAGCUGGCUCAGACACACCUGCUGGUUUCUUUUAAAAUGUAAAGGCAACACGGUACCACAGUGCAGUGUGGG